rnacentral:rRNA from 1 species
GACAGAGGAUGCAAGCGUUACUCGGAAUUACUGGGCGUAAAGCGUGCGUAGGUGGUGAGUUAAGUCUGUCGUGAAAGCCCCGGGCUCAACCUGGGAAUGGCGAUGGAUACUGGCUCGCUAGAGUGCGGUAGAGGAGAGUGGAAUUCCCGGUGUAGCAGUGAAAUGCGUAGAGAUCGGGAGGAACAUCAGUUGCGAAGGCGGCUCUCUGGACCAGCACUGACACUGAGGCACGAAAGCGUGGGGAGCAAACAGG